rnacentral:rRNA from 1 species
UACAGAGGUGGCUAGCGUUGUUCGGAUUUACUGGGUGUAAAGGGUACGUAGGCGGUUUAGAAAGUCGGAUGUGAAAUCCCAGGGCUCAACUCUGGAACUGCAUCCGAAACUACUAGGCUAGAGUAUGGGAGAGGUAGAUGGAAUUCUCGGUGUAAGGGUGAAAUCUGUAGAUAUCGAGAAGAACACCAGUGGCGAAGGCGAUCUACUGGCCCAAUACUGACGCUGAGUGUACGAAAGCUGAGGUAGCAAACGGG